AUUGAACGCUGGCGGCAGGCCUAACACAUGCAAGUCGAGCGAGCGGAGGACGGGUGAGUAAUGUCUGGGAAACCGUCUGAUGGAGGGGGAUAACUACUGGAAACGGUAGCUAAUACCGCACACACUCAGAUGUGCCCAGAGGGGAUUAGCUAGUAGGUGGGGUAACGGCUAACCUAGGCGACGAUCACUAGCUGGGCUGAGAGGUUGACCAGCCACACUGGAACUGAGACACGGUCCAGACUCCUACGGGAGGCAGCAGUGGGGAAUAUUGCACAAUGGGCGAAAGCCUGAUGCAGCCAUGCCGCGUGUGUGAAGAAGGCCUUCGGGUUGUAAAGCACUUUCAGCGGGGAGGCGUUACCCGCAGAGGAAGCACCGGCUAACUCCGUGCCAGCAGCCGCGGUAAUAC
rnacentral:rRNA from 1 species